rnacentral:tRNA from 1 species
AAUAAAAUAAGCUAAAAUAAGCUCUCGAGCCCAUACCUCGAUUAUAA